ACGCUCGACACCUACGGUAGGCAGCAGUCGGGAAUAUUGCGCAAUGGAGGGAACUCUGACGCAGUGACGCCGCGUAUAGGAAGAAGGUUUUCGGAUUGUAAACUAUUUUAGACAGGGAAGAAUAAAGACAGUACCUGUAGAAUAAGCUCCGGCUAACUACGUGCCGGCAGCCGCGGUAAUCUGAGCGGGGCUGGCAAGGC
rnacentral:rRNA from 1 species